rnacentral:rRNA from 1 species
GGCUGAUCAUGGCUCAGAUUGAACGCUGGCGUACAGGCCUUACACAUGCAAGUCGAGCGGCAGCACAAGUGAGUUUACUCAUGAGGUGGCGAGCGGCGGACGGGUGAGUAAUGCCUAGGGAUCUGCCCAGUCGAGGGGGAUAACAGUUGGAAACGACUGCUAAUACCGCAUACGCCCUACGGGGGAAAGAGGGGGACUUUCGGGCCUCUCGCGAUUGGAUGAACCUAGGUGGGAUUAGCUAGUUGGUGAGGUAAUGGCUCACCAAGGCGACGAUCCCUAGCUGUUCUGAGAGGAUGAUCAGCCACACUGGGACUGAGGACCGGCCCAGACUCCUACGGGAGGCAGCAGUGGGGAAUAUUGCACAAUGGGGUCAGCCCUGAUGCAGCCAUGCCGCGUGUGUGAAGAAGGCCUUCGGGUUGUAAAGCACUUUCAGUAGGGAGGAAAGGGUAAGUCCUAAUACGACUUAUCUGUGACGUUACCUACAGAAUAAGGACCGGCUAACUCCGUGCCAGCAGCCGCGGUAAUACGGAGGGUCCGAGCGUUAAUCGGAAUUACUGGGCGUAAAGCGUGCGCAGGCGGUUUGUUAAGCGAGAUGUGAAAGCCCUGGGCUCAACCUAGGAAUCGCAUUUCGAACUGACCAACUAUCGUCUUGUAUAGGGGGGUAGAAUUCCAGGUGUAGCGGUGAAAUGCGUAGAGAUCUGGAGGAAUACCGGUGGCGAAGGCGGCCCCCUGGACAAAGACUGACGCUCAUGCACGAAAGCGUGGGGAGCAAACAGGAUUAGAUUCCCUGGUAGUCCAUACCGUAAACGAUGUCUACUCGGAGUUUGGCCUCUUGAACACUGGGCUCUCAAGCUAACGCAUUAAGUAGACCGCCUGGGGAGUACGGCCGCAAGGUUAAAACUCAAAUGUAUUGACGGGGGCCCGCACAAGCGGUGGAGCAUGUGGUUUAAUUCGAUGCAAGGCGAAGAACCUUACCUUCUCUUGACAUCCACGGAAGACUGCAGAGAUGCGGUUCUGCCUUCGGGAACCGUGAGACAGGUGCUGCAUGGCUGUCGUCGGCUCGUGUUGUGAAAUGUUGGGUUAAGUCCCGCAACGAGCGCAACCCCUAUCCUUAUUUGCCAGCACGUAAUGGUGGGAACUCUAG